AAAAGCACUCAAUAAACUGAUAUUGAAAGAACAUGCCUCAGAAUAAUAAGAGCGAUCUGUGGCAAACCCACAGCUAACAUCAUUCUGAAUGGGCAAAAGCUG